GUAGGGUGCGAGCGUUAAUCGGAAUUACUGGGCGUAAGGCGUGCGCAGGCGGUUAUAUAAGUCAGAUGUGAAAUCCCCGGGCUCAACCUGGGACCUGCAUUUGAGACUGUAUAGCUAGAGUACGGUAGAGGGGGAUGGAAUUCCGCGUGUAGCAGUGAAAUGCGUAGAUAUGCGGAGGAACACCGAUGGCGAAGGCAAUCCCCUGGACCUGUACUGACGCUCAUGCACGAAAGCGUGGGGAGCAAACAGGAUUAGAUACCCUGGUAGUCCACGCCCUAAACGAUGUCAACUGGUUGUUGGGUCUUCACUGACUCAGUAACGAAGCUAACGCGUGAAGUUGACCGCCUGGGGAGUACGGCCGCAAGGUUG
rnacentral:rRNA from 1 species